GACGAACGCUGGCGGCGUGCCUAAUACAUGCAAGUAGAACGCACAGUUUAUACCGUAGCUUGCUACACCAUAGACUGUGAGUUGCGAACGGGUGAGUAACGCGUAGGUAACCUGCCUGGUAGCGGGGGAUAACUAUUGGAAACGAUAGCUAAUACCGCAUAAUAUUAAUUAUUGCAUGAUAAUUGAUUGAAAGUUGCAACUGCAUCACUACCAGAUGGACCUGCGUUGUAUUAGCUAGUAGGCGAGGUAACGGCUCACCUAGGCGACGAUACAUAGCCGAACGGAGAGGGUGAGCGGCCGCACUGGGACUGAGACACGGCCCAGACUCCUGCGGGAGGCAGCAGGAGGGAAUCUUCGGGAAGGGACGAAAGUCUGAACGAGCAACGCCGCGGGAGUGAAGAAGGUUGUCGGGUCGUAAAGCUCGGUUGUAAGAGAAGAACGGGUGUGAGAGUGGAAAGUUCACACUGUGACGGUAUCUUACCAGGAAGGGACGGCUAACUACGUG
rnacentral:rRNA from 1 species